AUACGUAGGGGGCGAGCGUUGUCCGGAAUGAUUGGGCGUAAAGGGCGCGUAGGCGGCCCGGUAAGUCUGGAGUGAAAGUCCUGUUUUUAAGAUGGGAAUUGCUUUGGAUACUGUCGGGCUUGAGUGCAGGAGAGGUAAGUGGAAUUCCCAGUGUAGCGGUGAAAUGCGUAGAGAUUGGGAGGAACACCAGUGGCGAAGGCGACUUACCGGACUGUAACUGACGCUGAGGCGCGAAAGUGUGGGGAGCAAACAGGAUUAGAUACCCUGGUAGUCCACACUGUAAACGAUGAAUGCUAGGUGUAGGGGGUAUCGACCCCUUCUGUGCCGCAGUCAACACAAUAAGCAUUCCGCCUGGGGAGUACGGCCGCAAGGUUGAAACUCAAAUGAAUUGACGGGG
rnacentral:rRNA from 1 species